rnacentral:rRNA from 1 species
AUUGAACGCUGGCGGCAUGCCUUACACAUGCAAGUCGAACGGUAACGCGGGGCAACCUGGCGACGAGUGGCGAACGGGUGAGUAAUGCAUCGGAACGUGCCCAGUAGUGGGGGAUAGCCCGGCGAAAGCCGGAUUAAUACCGCAUACGACCUACGGGAGAAAGGGGGGGAUCGCAAGACCUCUCGCUAUUGGAGCGGCCGAUGUCCGAUUAGGUAGUUGGUGGGGUAAAGGCCUACCAAGCCGACGAUCUGUAGCUGGUCUGAGAGGACGACCAGCCACACUGGGACUGAGACACGGCCCAGACUCCUACGGGAGGCAGCAGUGGGGAAUUUUGGACAAUGGGCGCAAGCCUGAUCCAGCCAUGCCGCGUGCGGGAAGAAGGCCUUCGGGUUGUAAACCGCUUUUGUCAGGGAAGAAAUCUUCUGAGUUAAUACCUCGGGAGGAUGACGGUACCUGAAGAAUAAGCACCGGCUAACUACGUGCCAGCAGCCGCCGUAACAC